CUCGACUGCAUGAAGCUGGAAUCGCUAGUAAUCGCGGAUCAGAAUGCCGCGGUGAAUACGUUCCCGGGUCUUGUACACACCGCCCGUCACACCAUGGGAGUCGGAUAUGCCCGAAGUCAGUGACCCAACCGCAAGGAGGGAGCUGCCGAAGGUGGAGCCGAUGACUGGGGUGAAGUCGUAACAAGGUAGC
rnacentral:rRNA from 1 species